rnacentral:lncRNA from 1 species
CAACUCUUCUCUUCCAACUUGUUAGGCAAUCAUAUCUACCUACGGGGAAGGAUGGCCAGCCACACAGGGUGAUUUGUAUUAAGGAGAAGGAGGCCGUGCUGCCUGAGAUGCAUGCUGGCCAUUUCGGAGUGAAGUGCAUGAACGCCAAAAUCAACCUAUGCUUUUUCUGACAGGGAAUUGCCAAGGAGGUGGACAGCUGGGCAAGUGAAAGAAAUAACAUUUUGCCACUUUUUGCUUAAAGGUCAGAACCCUGUGUAGCCUGCCAGAAGUUUGAGAUCACUGAAACUCCACCUGAUGUGGUGAAAGUUGUCGAUCCAGAUCAGAAAGCCUUCGAGUACUACCUUCAGGCACAGACUGAGAAGGAUGUGAAUGUUUUUGACCAGGAGCUAGGGGUUCUGCCCAACACCCAGACGUAAAUCCCCCCGAUGUCUUCCAUAACCAACCACCCUCCAACUUUUCAUUACAUCAUCUACAGCUACUGUUGUCAUGUUGUCAUUAUCUGCUAAGAAAGUUUUCUUGCUGUAUCAUACUGAGCACAUAAUAUGUGAGAUAUACAGAUUAACUAAAAACACUAGCACUGCAAACACUCAGAACAGAGAUUGCAGCAGUGCCUGGACUUUGCAGUCUCCCUCUUCUUCAAGUUUCCCUUCUGAGACUGGCUGCCUGUUGAGUGACAGGCAGAAUUCCACACACCUUAAUUCAGUAUUUUAGUCUAUGAUUGCCAUGUGAGUGCAUAAAAAAUCUGCGAAAAUAAAUUAAUGACACAAC